GUUAGAAGGCAGAGGGUACCCUUGAAAACAGCAAGAAGGACACAGGGGAAGAAGAGCUAUGAGAAAGGUGCACGGGGCACCAUGGGAGACCCUCCGUGAGCCUCUCCCUCUUGUCUCCUAUCUAACUGCAUCACACAUCGGCAUUUGGAGCUAUACCUUUCACUUCUAAGCUUCUCCCUAGUGUACUACUGUGCUUAAGAAACUUGAGCCUGGGUGCUUGGACAGUAUCUCCUAGGAGUUCACAGACUCUGUGUCUACCCAAACAUUAUCACUGGGACCUACUGGUAAAGAACAAGAAAAUGAGGCCAAGAUCAGGAAGGACUUUGAAAGCAACUAUUUUCACCCUCUCCCACAACAAGCAAUGCUUUUGUCUCCCUCUUAACCUCUCAGCACUUUGCCUCCUAACCCUUGGGGAAUGUAGGUGCUUGAGGAAGCACCAUGGGGUGAACCAAGAACCAUGGACAGGAAAAUCCAUGUGCAAUGAAAGCAAGGCCAGGAAAAGUGGGAAUGUCGGCCGGACAGUGCAGAGCUCUGAUGGAGGUGGCAAGUGUCCUGGCGUUGGUCUGAAGCUGAGAAACAGCCAUAUGAUCCAAGACU
rnacentral:lncRNA from 1 species